rnacentral:lncRNA from 1 species
CAGCUAAAAUCAGAAUAGUGGAUGAAGCCCACACAAAAAUAAUGUGGUUUGGAAAGUCCAGAAGUCCCUCUGUCAGUUGGAAGAGUUAAUUUUAACAGAAUCAGGUGAAAGUGAUUAUGAUGCAUGGACUGGCUUGGAGUGAGGCUCC